GUUUGUCCCCACUCUCGUAAGUAUUAUUUGAAUAAUAGCCGCUGAUAUGGCUAAAUAAACAUUGUCAAAGUUAUGAAAAGAAUAAUUUAAGAGAGAAUCUUUUUAAAAAAAGAAAGUUUACAUAAAAUACUAAAAAAUAUAGAGUCUUAUGUUACUACACUGGUUCCCAUGGAUCGUCUGAGGACAUUACCAGAAUCUGUGAUCAGACAAUGCAAACAAGCAAAAGAAUCAUUACCACUUUAUGAACUCUUAGAAUGGGAUCGGUUAUAGAGACAGAGAAAUUCAAAUGAGAAUCAGUUCCCUAUACAAUGGGGAAAUAACAAUAAACCAAUAAGAGGAACAAGGAAAAGGAGAAAGAAAAUUGAGGACACUGAAGAAAAAGAGUUAAAGAAGUUACGAGUGGAGAAUGUUUUUUCUCAUUUAAAUUCUAUCUCAUUGAACAAUGAUUGUAACACUUCACAAAUCAUACUCAUCAA